rnacentral:rRNA from 1 species
AUUGAACGCUGGCGGCAUGCCUUACACAUGCAAGUCGAACGGCAGCACGGGUGCUUGCACCUGGUGGCGAGUGGCGAACGGGUGAGUAAUACAUCGGAACGUACCUUAUCGUGGGGGAUAACGCAGCGAAAGUUGCGCUAAUACCGCAUACGCCCGGAGGGGGAAAGCGGGGGACCGUAAGGCCUCGCGCGAUUAGAGCGGGCGAUGUCUGAUUAGCUUGUUGGUGAGGUAAAAGCUCACCAAGGCGAUGAUCAGUAGCUGGUCUGAGAGGACGAUCAGCCACACUGGGACUGAGACACGGCCCAGACUCCUACGGGAGGCAGCAGUGGGGAAUUUUGGACAAUGGGGGCAACCCUGAUCCAGCAAUGCCGCGUGAGUGAAGAAGGCCUUCGGGUUGUAAAGCUCUUUUGUCAGGGAAGAAACACCGGCUCUAACACAGUCCGGGAAUGACGGUACCUGAAGAAUAAGCACCGGCUAACUACGUGCCAGCAGCCGCAGUAA